AGUGAACGCUGGCGGUAGGCCUAACACAUGCAAGUCGAACGGCAGCACAGUAAGAGCUUGCUCUUACGGGUGGCGAGUGGCGGACGGGUGAGGAAUACAUCGGAAUCUUCUUUUUCGUGGGGGAUAACGUAGGGAAACUUACGCUAAUACCGCAUACGACCUACGGGUGAAAGCAGGGGAUCUUCGGACCUUGCGCGAUUGAAUGAGCCGAUGUCGGAUUAGCUAGUUGGCGGGGUAAAGGCCCACCAAGGCGACGAUCCGUAGCUGGUCUGAGAGGAUGAUCAGCCACACUGGAACUGAGACACGGUCCAGACUCCUACGGGAGGCAGCAGUGGGGAAUAUUGGACAAUGGGCGCAAGCCUGAUCCAGCCAUACCGCGUGGGUGAAGAAGGCCUUCGGGUUGUAAAGCCCUUUUGUUGGGAAAGAAAAGCAGCAGGUUAAUACGCCGCUGUUCUGACGGUACCCAAAGAAUAAGCACCGGCUAACUUCGUG
rnacentral:rRNA from 1 species